GCACGGUGCGGAAGAGGCGGCGAGCGCUUGACACCCUCGCACAGGUGCUAUGCUCCGAGUGGUUUGCAUGACGCGCAGGCAGCAAGAUCGCCAUCAGGCAGCUGCACCGGCGCUCGAAGAUGCCCAUUCAAGGGGGAGGACUCAAGAUCCUCUGGGCACAACGCCCGCACGCGUUCGAAUCGCGUUAGCACCACAAGACGGUGGCAAGUCGCUCACUUUUUCUCAACGACAGUGAGAAGCGUGGAGCGCACGCUUUUGCUGGUACAGAGCAAACGGUGCAGAACGUCAUCAGGGCGAGCACCUGGUCUACGAACCAGUUUUACGAACGACGACUGCGUGCGUACCUGCUCGUGGCGCUCUUCCUCUGCGCUGUGCUGCGAAAAGAGAAGCAAACACUCUUGGACGCCUGGUUGACCAGGGGCGGAGUGCUCAGAGCUUAGCGCAUGUGGUUUUUUGUGGCAGCUAUCCAUCUCAUACAGAACUUGCCAAACUUUGCUUGGAAGGUUAUCCACAGACAGCGCGAAGACGCCGAGCACGCACUCGAACGCUACAGUUUGCAGCGAUCGGUACCGUUCUACGCCCGCCCUGUGAGCCUGGAACAGGACCGCUGGGCACAGCUGCGGCAAGACUUGGGUCGAGACCACUGGCAGUUGGCGCGCCAGACGCUACUCUGUGGAUAUUCUCUGGUAAAAGCGGUACCAUUCAAGCCGGAGGAGCGAGCAGAUGGCUAUCCACCUCCGCGAUGGCUGCAGGGAGCGGUGCCCCAGCUUGACGCGACCGAGAUCCCAGCGGAGCUACGGCGGGCAAGAUAAGUCAACGACAACGUCUUCCUGUUUGCACGACGAAUAUCAUGACUCCAAACGCAUUCCAUCGGAGUCGCGCGUUUGCCCGCCAACCACGCCAUGCUGCCGGCGAGCGCCUGAUUGCACAGGCCGAACACCGUCGUGGUGCACAACGUGGUUUACAUUGAACUAUGAUGAUCUCGCGUCCAGCUGUGGUGAGAGCAUGACCCCGAAAUCGAGCUCCAAGUGCUUCUGCUCGGAAGCGCGCAAAUGAAGAUUUCCGUACGCUUCAGUGUCGUGAGACAAACGCAGGUUCUGUGAUACGCGUCUGCCGGAAAGUGCGCGUCCGAACACGUUGCGUCAUGGUUCAACGCGCAAGCGUGCAGGACGUGACUGCACUGAACUUGUGCAUAUGCCGUACGAGACGCCAAGCCGCAUCACAUUUCCGUCGUACCCAGAGAGCAGGUAGUUCUCAAUCGACCGAUCACGUCGCCCGAGUUCAAUGUAAAAGACAGGGCUGAACCUGACGCUGAUCGGCAAUAAAGCGA